GGUUACUUUGUACCUGAAGUGUUCCAGGUUUCCCCACCACUGAUUCCAGCUUAUUACAAUUUGAAGUCUUACAAUCAUGCUUACUACUCUUUGUAGUUACUCUUCUACUGCUAUGUACUUUUUUUCCUUGAGUCUCUCGUUGUACCCCAGACUGACCUUGAACUCAAAGAGAUCUACCCACCUGCCCAUGACUCCUGAGUGCUGGGAUUAAAGGCAAUGCCAUUUAAUCCUAGUCCUAGAAUAUGUUAUAUUUUUAAUGUUUCUUCUAAAUUUCUGUGGUUUUAUAGUCAUGGAUAAAAAGUGCAGAGGUCACCAGUACCACAAAUUCAAGCAGACAGGGGAUUUCAUAAAGUGUUUGUGUUUAGUCUCCUGUUUUCUAUGAUCAGUUGGAAAUAGAUAUUAAAUCACAAAUGGCCAACAAAUCAUGCUUCAUGAGCAAUUAUUUCUGCAUGUAUUUGUUCUGAAUUGAUUCUCAAUUCUUAGAAUCUUUGGACUGCACAGCUCCAGUUUUCCGGAAAGACUAUUAAGAGCCGAUGGCAGUACAUCUUUAAGUUUUCCAUCUAUUUAUUUCUUUCAUAUGCAUCCCUGUGGAUGGAACCCACAGCCUUGCACAUGCUAGUACACUAUACAUGGAGUUUGGUGCAUGAGUCCUUCACGCAACACAAGACAGUAAGCGUUAACUGUUGACAGGAAACAUGACUUUGGGAGGAGGUAAACCUCAUAGCGUUUCCUUUUUAAAAAACAUUUUUAUUUACUUUUAUUGUAGGAAUGCUUUGCUUGCAUGUCUCCUACUUGUGUGCCUUGUCCUCAUGGAGGUUAAAUGAGGGCAUCGGACCUCCCGGAACUGGAGUUAGAGGAGGCUAUGAGCUACAAUCUAGGUACUGGGAAUUGAACCCAGAUCUGCAAGAGCAGCCACUGAGCCAUCUCCCUAGCCCCCUCCAUCUUGUAGUUGAGCAAACACAAAGACUAACAUGCAUCUUGGAAAAA